ACCAGACCCUUGGAUACAUACUCUAAUCUCUGGCCUUUAUUUUUACAAUGAAUUUGAUUUGUUCAGUGAUCGAAUAUUUUUUCUGAUUUGUGAGAAGCUUCAUGCUCUGUGUUUGGAUGCUGACUGCAAUACAGCAAUAGUCUUUGAAACGAGUCACAGUGUACACUCUGUGGGGAGCCUGAAGAUUUGGAUUCUCUAACAGGGCAUGCAUUUCCAGAGCUGCAAGUGUUAUGGGCAUGUUGAGAACUUCCAGAAGCUGGAUUAAAGCAUCUCUUUUACAAUGAUAUCUAAUCUCGUCCUAAAGCUCCAAGCAAUGGCGAGUCCACCAGCU